rnacentral:rRNA from 1 species
GUUAAGGGCACACGGUGGAUGCCUUGGCAUUAUGAGCCGAUGAAGGACGUGUAAGGCCGCGAUAGGCCUCGGGGAGUUGCCAAUAGAGCGUUGAUCCGAGGGUGUCCGAAUGGGGAAACCUGGCCAUGGUUAUGUGUGGUUACCCAUCAGUGAAUUCAUAGCUGGUGUGGGGGUGACGCGGGGAAGUGAAACAUCUCAGUACCCGUAGGAGAAGAAAAUAAUUAAUGAUUCUGCUAGUAGUGGCGAACGAACGUGGAUGAGGCUAAACCGUAUGCGUGUGAUACCUGGCAGGGGUUGCGUGUGUGGUGUUGUGGGGCGUUGUUGGAGGAGGCUGCCGGCUCCUCGCUUGUUAUAUGUGUGUGUUAGCGGAAGUGGUUUGGAAUGGCCUGCCGUAGUGGGUGAGAGUCCCGUACGUGAAAACAUGUGCAUGCGAGUGGAUGAUGUUCCCGAGUAGCAGCGGGCUCGUGGAAUCUGCUGUGAAUCUGCCGGGACCACCCGGUAAGCCUAAAUACUUAUGAUGACCGAUAGCGGAUAGUACCGUGAGGGAAUGGUGAAAAGUACCCCGGGAGGGGAGUGAAAUAGUACCUGAAACCGUGUGCUUACAAUCCGUCAGAGCCUCUUUUUGUUAGGUGAUGGCGUGCCUUUUGAAGAAUGAGCCUGCGAGUCAGCGGCAUGUCGCGAGGUUAACCCGUGUGGGGUAGUCGUAGCGAAAGCGAAUCCUAAUGAGGGUGUUGUUAGUGGCAUGUCCUGGACCCGAAGCGGGGUGAUCUACCCAUGGCCAGUGUGAAGCAGCUGUAAGAGGUUGUGGAGGCGCGAACCCACUUAGGUUGAAAACUGAGGGGAUGAGCUGUGGGUAGGGGUGAAAGGCCAAUCAAACUCCGUGAUAGCUGGUUCUCCCCGAAAUGCAUUUAGGUGCAGCGUUGUGUGUUUCUUGCUGGAGGUAGAGCUACUGGUUGGUUGAGCGGGACUACAAUCUUAGCAAUGUCAGCCAAACUCCGAAUGCCGGUAAUGUUAAGCAUGGCAGUGAGACUGCGGGGGAUAAGCUCCGUUGGUCGAGAGGGAAACAGCCCAGAUCGCCGGUUAAGGCCCCUAAGGGUGUACUAAGUGGAAAAGGAUGUGGGAUCGCGAAGACAGCCAGGAGGUUGGCUUAGAAGCAGCCAUCCUUGAAAGAGUGCGUAAUAGCUCACUGGUCGAGUGGUUCUGCGCCGACAAUGUAGUGGGGCUCAAGUACACCGCCGAAGCCGCGGCAGUCAGCAAUGUGUUUUGUUGGUUGGGUAGGGGAGCGUCGUGCACUGCUGUGAAGCACCUGGGUGACUUGAUGGUGUGGAGUGUGUGCGAGUGAGAAUGCAGGCAUGAGUAACGAAUGAAAAGUGGAAAACUUUUCCGCCGGAUGACUAAGGGUUCCUGGGUUAAGCUAAUCUUCCCAGGGUGAGUCGGGACCUAAGGCGAGGCCGACAGGCGUAGUCGAUGGAUAACCAGUUGAUAUUCUGGUACCCGUGUAUGUGCGCCCAGUGGUGAAUCAGUGGUACUAACCAUCCAUGGAUCUGCUGGUCAUGCUUUUUGUGUGGUUGGUGGUGAUGUGCGUGGGAUCUUCGUUGGUAGUAGCCAAGUGAUGGGGUGACGCAGUGAGGUAGCUGAGCCAUUUAUUGGAUUGUGGUGUAAGCGUGUGGCCCGUGGCAUAGGUAAAUCCGUGUCGCAUUUGUGGGUGAGGCGUGAUGCGUAGACCUUUGUGGUUGAUGUUGGUGAUCCUGUACUGUCGAGAAAAGCCUCUAGCGAGUGCAUAUAUGGCCCGUACCCAUAACCGACACAGGUGGUCAGGUAGAGAAUACUAAGGCGAUCGGGUGAACUGUGGUUAAGGAACUCGGCAAAUUGCCCCCGUAACUUCGGGAGAAGGGGGACCAUUGCUGGUGACCGACGUGGUUGAGCUGGUGGUGGUCGCAGAGAAUAGAGGGAAGCGACUGUUUAUUAAAAACACAGGUCCGUGCGAAAACGUGGAAGUUGAUGUAUACGGACUGACGCCUGCCCGGUGCUGGAAGGUUAAGAGGACCUGUUAGGGCAUUUUUUGUCCGAAGCGGAGAAUUUAAGCCCCAGUAAACGGCGGUGGUAACUAUAACCAUCCUAAGGUAGCGAAAUUCCUUGUCGGGUAAGUUCCGACCUGCACGAAUGGCGUAACGACUUCCCUGCUGUCUCAACCACAGGCCCGGUGAAAUUGCAGUACGAGUAAAGAUGCUCGUUACGCGCGGCAGGACGAAAAGACCCCGGGACCUUCACUAUAGCUUGGUAUUGGUGUUUGGUUCGGUUUGUGUAGGAUAGGUGGGAGACUGUGAAGUGGUCACGCUAGUGGUUGUGGAGUCGAAAGUUGAAAUACCACUCUGAUCGGAUUGAG